GACGUAGGAUGCAAGCGUUGUCCGGAUUUAUUGGGCGUAAAGAGUUCGUAGGCGGUUUGUUAAGUCUGAUGUUAAAUAUCAGGGCUCAACCCUGGGACUGCAUUGGAUACUGGCAGACUGGAGUGCGGUAGAGGUAAGUGGAAUUUCUGGAGUAGCGGUGAAAUGCGUAGAUAUCAGAAAGAACACCAGUGGCGUAGGCGACUUACUGGGCCGUAACUGACGCUGAGGAACGAAAGCCAGGGGAGCAAAUGGG
rnacentral:rRNA from 1 species